GACGAACGCUGGCGGCGUGCUUAACACAUGCAAGUCGAACGGAAAGGCCCUGCUUUUGUGGGGUGCUCGAGUGGCGAACGGGUGAGUAACACGUGAGUAACCUGCCCUUGACUUUGGGAUAACUUCAGGAAACUGGGGCUAAUACCGGGUAGGAGCUCCUGCUGCAUGGUGGGGGUUGGAAAGUUUCGGCGGUUGGGGAUGGACUCGCGGCUUAUCAGCUUGUUGGUGGGGUAGUGGCUUACCAAGGCUUUGACGGGUAGCCGGCCUGAGAGGGUGACCGGCCACAUUGGGACUGAGAUACGGCCCAGACUCCUACGGGAGGCAGCAGUGGGGAAUAAUGCACAAUGGGCGGAAGCCUGAUGCAGCAACGCCGCGUGCGGGAUGACGGCCUUCGGGUUGUAAACCGCUUUCGCCUGUGACGAAGCGUGAGUGACGGUAAUGGGUAAAGAAGCACCGGCUAACUACGUG
rnacentral:rRNA from 1 species